UGGGGAAUAUUGGACAAUGGGCGCAAGCCUGAUCCAGCCAUGCCGCGUGAGUGAUGAAGGCCCUAGGGUUGUAAAGCUCUUUCACCGGUGAAGAUAAUGACGGUAACCGGAGAAGAAGCCCCGGCUAACUUCGUGCCAGCAGCCGCGGUAAUAUGAAGGGGGCUAGCGUUGUUCGGAUUUACUGGGCGUAAAGCGCACGUAGGCGGACUUUUAAGUCAGGGGUGAAAUCCCGGGGCUCAACCCCGGAACUGCCUUUGAUACUGGAAGUCUUGAGUAUGGUAGAGGUGAGUGGAAUUCCGAGUGUAGAGGUGAAAUUCGUAGAUAUUCGGAGGAACACCAGUGGCGAAGGCGGCUCACUGGACCAUUACUGACGCUGAGGUGCGAAAGCGUGGGGAGCAAACAGG
rnacentral:rRNA from 1 species